GACGAACGCUGGCGGCGUGCUUAACACAUGCAAGUCGAACGAUGAAGCCGGAGCUUGCUCCGGUGGAUUAGUGGCGAACGGGUGAGCAACACGUGAGCAAUCUGCCCGUGACUCUGGGAUAACUGCGGGAAACUGUAGCUAAUGCCGGCUACGACACCUUGGGUCAUCCCCGGGUGUGGGAAGAAUUUCGGUCAAGGAUGAGCUCGCGGCCUAUCAGCUAGUUGGUGAGGUAAUGGCUCACCAAGGCGACGACGGGUAGCCGGCCUGAGAGGGUGACCGGCCACACUGGAACUGAGACACGGUCCAGACUCGUACGGGAGGCAGCAGUGGGGAAUAUUGCACAAUGGGCGAAAGCCUGAUGCAGCAACGCCGCGUGAGGGAUGAAGGCCUUCGGGUUGUAAACCUCUUUUAGCAGGGAAGAAGCGAAAGUGACGGUACCUGCAGAAAAAGCACCGGCUAACUACGUGCCAGCCGCCGCCGUAA
rnacentral:rRNA from 1 species